GACGAACGCUGGCGGCGUGCUUAACACAUGCAAGUCGAACGAAGAGCGAUGAAAGCUUGCUUCUAUCAAUCUUAGUGGCGAACGGGUGAGUAACGCGUAAUCAACCUGCCCUUCAGAGGGGGACAACAGUUGGAAACGACUGCUAAUACCGCAUACGAUCUAAUCUCGGCAUCGAGGAUAGAUGAAAGGUGGCCUCUACAUGUAAGCUAUCACUGAAGGAGGGGAUUGCGUCUGAUUAGCUAGUUGGAGGGGUAACGGCCCACCAAGGCGAUGAUCAGUAGCCGGUCUGAGAGGAUGAACGGCCACAUUGGGACUGAGACACGGCCCAGACUCCUACGGGAGGCAGCAGUGGGGAAUCUUCCGCAAUGGACGAAAGUCUGACGGAGCAACGCCGCGUGAGUGAUGACGGCCUUCGGGUUGUAAAGCUCUGUUAAUCGGGACGAAAGGCCUUCUUGCGAAUAGUGAGAAGGAUUGACGGUACCGGAAUAGAAAGCCACGGCUAACUACGUG
rnacentral:rRNA from 1 species